rnacentral:rRNA from 1 species
AGCGAACGCUGGCGGCAUGCCUAACACAUGCAAGUCGAACGAAGACAUCGGACUUAGUGGCGGACGGGUGAGUAACACGUGGGAACGUACGUUUUGGUUCGGAACAAGUCAGGGAAACUUGAGCUAACACCGGAUGAGCCAUGAGGGGGAAAGAUUUAUCGCCGAAAGAGCGGCCCGCGUUAGAUUAGCUAGUUGGUGAGGUAAAGGCUCACCAAGGCUACGAUCUAUAGCUGGUCCGAGAGGAUCAUCAGCCACACUGGGACUGAGACACGGCCCAGACUCCUACGGGAGGCAGCAGUGGGGAAUCUUGCGCAAUGGGCGAAAGCCUGACGCAGCCAUGCCGCGUGAAUGAUGAAGGUCUUAGGAUUGUAAAAUUCUUUUACCAGGGACGAUAAUGUCGGUACCUGGAGAAAAAGCCCCGGCUAACUUCGUGCCAGCCGCCGCCGUAAUAC